UAAUAAUGGAACUAGGUGCCAAGAGUGUGUGAGAAUGGUUGAGUGUUCAAACAGUUUUUGUGCAAAACUAGAACUUGCCCGGUUAGUCCUGCUAAGACAAUUCAAUCUAGAGGUUUGGAAGUGAUCAUAGGCCAUUGUUAUGAAAAGUCCACAAAUUGCCUAAAAGAAGGAUUCAACCAAAUGAAAUAAAUGCUCCCUUUGAUCCAAAAAAAAAAAAAACUUUGAGCCUAAAAUUAAACCAUUUCCUUCUUAACCCCGAACUCACCUUCCC
rnacentral:lncRNA from 1 species